rnacentral:rRNA from 1 species
CACUGUCACUCCUACGGGAGGCAGCAGUGGGGAAUAUUGCACAAUGGGCGCAAGCCUGAUGCAGCCAUGCCGCGUGUAUGAAGAAGGCCUUCGGGUUGUAAAGUACUUUCAGCAGUGAGGAAGGCGGGUACGUUAAUAGCGUAUUCGUUUGACGUUAGCUGCAGAAGAAGCACCGGCUAACUCCGUGCCAGCAGCCGCGGUAAUACGGAGGGUGCGAGCGUUAAUCGGAAUUACUGGGCGUAAAGCGCAUGCAGGUGGUUUGUUAAGUCAGAUGUGAAAGCCCCGGGGCUCAACCUCGGAAUUGCAUUUGAAACUGGCAGACUAGAGUACUGUAGAGGGGGUAGAAUUUCAGGUGUAGCGGUGAAAUGCGUAGAGAUCUGAAGGAAUACCGGUGGCGAAGGCGGCCCCCUGGACAGAUACUGACACUCAGAUGCGAAAGCGUGGGGAGCAAACAGGAUUAGAUACCCUGGUAG